rnacentral:lncRNA from 1 species
ACUUGGGACAGUCAUUCGUUUCCACAGUCCGAGAUGUGCUUGUGUCUGUGCCUGGAAAUAUUCUCAUCCUGGGAUAAUUUACGGGCAGCCAGAGUCCCUUACCCCAGUCCACCGUUGCUGGCCUGACUUCCACUGCUGCUGUGAGUGGGAGGGAGCCCCGUGGAGUACUGGCUGGCUGGAAAGAUAAGGGGAAAGGUUCCUGACUCUGAGGGACAGCAGGGCUCUGAGCUCUGGCUCUGCUCUGCCACUUGCUGAAGUUGCUCAAUCCCCCGGCUGAGAAGGGAUCAGCUCUACAGCACUGAAGGGCCAGCCCAGGCCAGGAUGAGAAAGGCGGCCCAAGGUCAAGUGGCUGGUCCCAGGGAACCUGGGCCUGCGCCCACCCUUGUGCCAACUCCCUAAGGCAAGACAAACUCCGCCCUUUCUUCGCUCUCUCCCAGGAGGCGUGGCUUCUGAGAGUUCUUUUAACACUUGUACAAACUGUGCACAAACCGUUGCCAUCAGAGCUGGAAUAGCAUGAUCUCCUUUGUCCUGCAGAGGGGCUGCCAGGGGUAGUGAGAAAUAGUAUUUGCAGUUACACAGUUUACAAAAAAAAAAAAAAAUCCAUUUAAACUAAACAACACAUCCCUGUUUUGUCUGGGACUAGAGAGGUUAAGUGACCUGCUUGAAAUGGCCCAGCAAAUAGAGGGCUGGGGGCUGGGAUGGCACCAGCAGCUCUGGCUUCAAACCCUGCUGAGGCAGAGGCCAAGUCCAGAGGCUCCCUCUGCUGUUAAGAUUCACAUACCUUUAAAGAAAGGAUGUACAUAUAGCUGUUUUCUGACAGCAGUUUAAUACUUUUAAAUGCAUAUAUUUGUCAUUCUCUGUCCCUUAAACCAAUCUCCAGCUAGGCUUGGAAAAUAGAGGGGUGUGUGUGUAUCACUAGAGUUGAACCUGGCGGUGCCCCACCACUUGAGCUUCAUCCUAACCCCCCCUUCUUUUUAAAUAUUGUUUUAUAUGUUGAUGGGCCUUUAUUUUAUUGAUUUAUUUUUAUGUGGUGCU